rnacentral:lncRNA from 1 species
GAGGUGAGGCCUGGCCCCCCAAAUCCCGUUCCAUGUGGUUGCAUCUGAUUCGUCUCCACGGGGGAUUCGUGGCGGGAUCGAGGAGGUUUAGGGUGGGUGGUCCUGGCGCCGGAGUUUCUCUAGGGUUAGAUCAUUUCGGGCAAAGAUGGCAGCUUUUGGGUGGUUCGGGUUCAUCCGGCGGUUGUGGAUCUCGUGCGCUGCUGUGGAAUCGAGUAUUGCACUGAGGAGGGGAUAAAUAGUGCAGCUUGAUGAGCUCCCAUGAUGGCUGGAUCGGAAUAUGCUGUAGCAGCUCAAGCGUUAGAUGUCGAAUCUGUUGUUCCUGUGUGUUUCGAUGCUACUCCACCUGGAUUUAUGCUGGUUGUACCUGUCAUUGAAUCGACAUUCUUACUGCUUUAUGUUCAGCGCUGCAUUUGCCUAUCUCGUUCCGGCGGUACUCUUGUUAUGCCACGGUGGAGGGCUGAAUGUGUGUGUCUCUCCCUCUCUCUGUGUGUUUUUUUUUUUACUUUGGCAUGGUGUGAUCGAGCGUUUGGUGUCUGUAAGGUAGUACUCCCUCUGUUCUGAUGUGUAGGUCGUUUUGGCUUUUUCUAGGUUCAUAUAUGUUUAUAUGCACCUAAAUGUAGCGUAUGUCUAGAUGCAUACAAACAUAUAUGCACCUAGAAAAGCCAAAACGACCUACAAUUUGGAACGGAGGGAGUAUUGUUCUUGGAAUUGGGAAAUUUGCUAUUCUUUACUUACUAGAGCACUGACAGGUUAGAGCAUUGUGUGAGAAGGCCAAGGAGAUAUUGAUGGAUGAAAGCAAUGUUCAGGUAUGGCUGAGCUCUCACAAUUACUCAGCUUGUCUUUUUGUUAUUACUGCUACUAUGUUGAGCAAUUUACUGCUGAUAUGAUGAUAUCCAUGUUUUUGGGGCCUAAGGUUGGUUGGAGAAAAUGAUGAACGUAUGCUCUACGUAGUAGCAUCAUCCUUAGAUUUAUUCUAUUUUUUAAUUGGCAUGUUUUUUCAGUUUUUAUGUGUAAAGGAAACGAACUUGAUAUGGAGAGGGCAAAUUGAAGCAUUUGUGCUGUUUUCUUGGCCAUCCAUGCAAGAAGUUAACCUUUUUGGAGUUUGAUGUAUUAAGGGGGUGUUUGGAUACUAGGUGCUAAACUUUAGCAGUGUCACAUCGGAUGUUCGGAUGCUAAUUAGGAGAACUAAACAUGAUCUAAUUAUAAAACUAAUUGCAGAACCCCUAUGCUAUUUCGCGAGACGAAUCUAUUAAGCCUAAUUAAUCCAUCAUUAGCAAAUGGUUACUGUAGCACUACAUUGUCAAAUCAUGGACUAAUUAGGCUUAAUAGAUUCGUCUUGCGAAUUAGACUCCAUCUGUGCAAUUAGGUUUGUAAUUAGACUAUGUUUAAUAAUCCUAAUUAGCAUCCAAACAUCCGAUGUGACAUGUGCUAAACUUUAGCAUGGGGUAUCCAAACACCCCCUUAAGGGCACCUGUAUCUUCCACCCGUGGAAUACACAGUCAGCACUCUAUAUGCUGGUGGGCAUGCACAGUGAUUGAGUGACAAACGAGACGGGAAAUAUGUGUUGCCUCACUAUAGAGUAGGUAAUCCCAAAUUAGUACAUGAAUUUUCAAGCCGAUGAUUUGUGUACACUUGUGCUGCACUGGAGCCUAGCAGAACAGUACAUAUGUUUCUUUCUUAUUUUGAUGUUGUCCCUUAUGAUCGCUGUGUAUAUAGCUACAACUAAAAGGGUGUUUUGGUGUGUUAUAUACUUAUUCUAUUCCAUUUGUUUAACUAUUAGCUUCUGCUGUGAAGCCUGCACCAAAUAGAACUUUAUCUGUGUGUGGCCAUGGCCAAAGCGUGCAUGUUUUAUUCCGUGUACAUUUAACUAUCCUGUUGCAUUUUCCAGCAGAAUAUGAUUUUUAAUUAACUCAACUUUUUAUAAUAUAUGUACAGCCAGUUAAAAGCCCGGUGACAAUUUGUGGCGACAUUCAUGGACAAUUCCAUGACCUUGUAGAACUUUUCCGGAUUGGUGGAAAGGUAUUCCUACACAACCCAAUCUUUAUAUUUGUUUUGUCCUUUUAUUUUUGACAGAGUUCGUUUCAUUCUUUGAAAGCUGACAGAUCAAUGUUUGUUGUUUACCAGUGUCCAGACACGAACUAUUUAUUUAUGGGAGAUUAUGUGGAUCGUGGUUAUUACUCUGUUGAGACUGUAACGGUAAGACCUAGCCUGAUAGUGGCAUUUGUUUUUCUUCCUUAAAUGUAAUAGAAGCCCAACUUUCCAUGUUUAGUUUCCAUCUGGUACUGUGUUGGAUUCUGUCAUCCCUUUUUUUACUGUCAAAGAUACAAGUCAUAUAUUAUCUUGAAUAGCAGGGCGAUUUAUGUGUAGCAUGCAUAAAUACAAGUCAAUGUUGUAAGAUGGACACUCACCAUUAUUGAUUACAUACUACUUGGAUAUUUAUAAUAUUAUUCCUGAAUAAGUGAAUAUAAAUACUUCUCUUUGGUGAGAAAAUUAUCAUUUGCGACUUGUUCUCACCCUAACUUCCUUUCUACUGUCCACAAUAUUUUUCCAAUUCUCUCUUUGCCAGACAUUUCUGUUAGCUUGAUUUUCUGUAUUCCUCUAUACUAUCAUGAAUAUAAAUUGCGUGUUUUUUUUGUCAAUUGUUUAAUCAUCUAGAAAUAAGAUCAAGAGCAGAACUUGAGUGGUAGGUGAUUUAGUUAGUGCCAACUUUCACUCCGCAAAUUUCCUCCGAAGUUUAGCAUUAACAACUUGCGGCAAGGGUUUGGGUUGCGAUUGGUUGGUGCCCCAUUGCACCCUGCUGAUGCAAAUGGAUUGAAAGACUUGUAGCAAUUCUAGCCUCGCCAAAAUUAGCAUUAUUUAUGAAAGUAAGAAUAGCUGUUGGUGACUGUAUUUUUACAUUCAUGUUAAUAAUGCUAUUUUUCUUAGACAUUAUUUGUUGACAUGAUGUAGUACCAUUGUGCAGCUUUUGGUUGCACUUAAGGUGCGGUACCCACAACGAAUUACUAUUCUUCGUGGAAACCAUGAGAGUAGACAGGUAUUGUACAAUACCCAUGAAAUAAUUCUCUUUCAUUAGUUAAAAUCCGAACCUUCUUAUUUGGUUUUACAGUGUUAACUUUCUUAAGGUAUUAUCUCUUUGUAUGCAUAUAGAAUAAUGCAUGUUCUUUAUUGUAAAUUUCAUUCCAAUUCUGCAUUUCAUUCAAGAACCCUUCAAUUAUUGCAGAUCACACAGGUGUAUGGCUUCUAUGAUGAAUGCCUACGAAAGUGAGUUAUUUAGGUGCUUGAAAAUCACCUACUUGCCUUACUCUUAUUCCAUGUGUUGCCUGUUAUUUAUGUACUGCAUCACCACCUUAGUAGUAGAAGACAUAUGCUUCCCCGGUUGCUCCAGGGUGAUCCUAAGGCUGCAACUUAGAGAUUUAUCUUAGUUGAAUACUUUAUAAUUUAAUAAUUUGUAAAGAGGAACUUUGCCACUGGGAAAGAUGUCUCCAAGCUGGCUAUUUACGCUGGCUGGCUAGGAACAAGUUAGCUAGAAUUCUCAUGGAGGUACCCACAUUUGCUAAGGCCUGGGUUCAAACCUGUGUGGGCUGUGUACUCACAUUUGCCAGCACCUGGGUUUGAGCCCGUAUGGGAGUCAUGGCCGUCUCCGUUGUAACAUUUAUGAUCUACAUGCUGCCUUUUACUCCCUCCAUCCCAAUAUACAAGGCGCAUCUCCUCUGGACACAGACCAAGGUGCAUCUUAACUACUCUACUCUGGCUGGUAUGCAUGUACCAAGGACCCUUAAUGCAUGUGGAGGUUUUUGGUUGGUUUGCAUGUCUAACAUGCAGACUCUUUUACCAUGCUGGACUGUGAGGGAAGGGAGACAUUUAAUUCAUCCAUGUAUGCGAAUGGAGCUCUGGGAGUUGGCGCCUUGUAUUAACAGACACCGGAGAAAAGUAGUUGCGCCUUGUAUAUUGGUAUGGAGGGAGUAUUUUUUCUGCAGAUUUUAGUCAAGGACAUUUUAAAUGUUUUAUUAAUUAUGUACCAUAGCAUUAGUCAAGGAAGUUCAUAUCUCUCCAGUUACCAUUGCGGUACUCUAAUAUAUCAUGCUGUAGCCUAGAUGGAAUUAUUAUUGGCUAUUUGCAAUCUGGAUAAACUUGAAAGUUCAUUAACUCGGUUCUUCCAUUUGUUGUUCUUCACUAGUUUGAUUCUUUUUGUUUGACCCUGUUGUCCUAUUUUUGAUAGAUAUGGCAGUGCAAAUGUCUGGAAGAUCUUCACUGAUCUUUUUGACUAUUUUCCAUUGACAGCAUUGGUAUGUGUGCUCAGCUUUAGGCCACCUUUUCCCAUUUUAAACCCUUAGCCCCUUGAGCUCACAAUAUUGUUCCUUCAGUUUUCUUUCAUUCAUGACACGAUUCAUUGAUCUAUAAGAACUUUUAAAAGUAUGGCAACCUUAAGCUAUUUUCAUCGUUCACUGAUGUUCUAUGUCGUCAACUUAAGGCUUCACUAUAUUCUUUCUCAAAAAGAUCGAAAAUGAAGCUAAUGAAUUGAUAUAUUGAAGCACCCAUCUGCCAUAUUUGUUUUUCAUUCAUGUCCAUGUAAUAAUAUAAAUAUAAACAAGACUUUUCAAAUAUUAGAAAUGACCUGUGCUUUGCUAGCUUUUGGUUUGAAUUUUGACCCACUACAUAUUCUGUUUGAUGAUUAAAUCUUUUUUCCUCGAAAUGAUUUGAUGUUUAAAUCUGUAUGGCACAAUUUCUAUUGUCACCUCCAUGUCUUAAUAAUUGUUAGUUUCUUGUUUCGUUCAGAAAUCUUAUUGACAUUGCAUUCCUUCUCUACUUGAAGGUGGAAUCAGAAAUUUUCUGCCUCCAUGGUGGUUUAUCUCCUUCCAUUGAAAAUCUCGAUAGUGUUCGUAGCUUAGAUCGUGUUCAAGAGGUCCCUCAUGAGGGACCUAUGUGUGACCUUCUAUGGUCUGAUCCAGAUGAUCGAUGUGGCUGGGGCAUUUCUCCUCGAGGAGCUGGAUACACUUUUGGCCAAGUACUUGAUAUACAUCUUUUUUAAUUAUUUGGUAGACCCUGUUAUCAGUUCUCUCAAUUGGAUGGCUUCCAUUUUCCAGGACAUAUCGGAACAGUUUAAUCACACCAACAAUCUUAAACUUGUUGCCCGGGCUCAUCAGUUGGUUAUGGAGGGUUAUAACUGGGCACAUGUAAGUUAUUAGUAUGGAUUAACUUGAAGCAUCGGUUUAGCUACUACUAUCUUAUGGUUCUUUACUAUAAAUUCACAGGAACAAAAGGUGGUGACCAUAUUCAGUGCACCUAAUUACUGUUACCGGUGUGGCAACAUGGCAUCCAUCCUUGAGGUUGAUGACUGCAGGAACCACACAUUUAUUCAGGUACCUAAUUUUCUUAGGUUAUGCAUUUUUUCUUUAUUGUUCAUUACUUUCAUUUUUUCUGGUAGUGUUGGGUAUUCCAUAUACCAGCUUUCUUUUGUAUGACAUGGCACAGUAUGGUAAUGUCAUGCGAUUGAAAUUUGGAAAUCUGGAUAACAUUGAUAUGACAUUUUUUUUGUUGCAUUACUAUUGGCGAGUCUGAAAUUGUGAUAUUCCUUCAUGAACAUUCAACUUGGGUCUUAUUCUGCAGUUUGAGCCAGCUCCGAGGAGAGGUGAACCAGAUGUGACACGGAGAACACCAGAUUAUUUCCUUUGAGUUAUUUGCUGUCAUUUUGAUUUUUGUGCAAGAUUGCAAUAGUGGUUGCUGGUCAGAAACAUUUUUGUUGGAUCCAUAUGAUAAAUUAACCUGACCAGCAAUAGCAAGAAAAUGCCACAUCCCUAAUAGCGUGAAAGUUGAUCCCCAUUCGUUGCUGCAAGAGGUGCUAUCAGCCUACCACCCAAGCUGACAUAAGAAUCCGGCGGUAAAUUGGCACCUCCGUUGGUUCUGUUGAGCCAGACUGCUGGCUCAACAGAGAUGGAGCUUCCGUUUUAGCAUAAGUUGCUUGGGUUCUUCCUUUAGUUUUGUUUUGUAUUGGUGUGCUUACAACCUCUGUGAUUAAGACUUAAGACAUGCUGAUCCUCUUGUUGCUAGAAUUGUGAAGAAUGGCAUGCAGCUAGUUCUUCCGUUCUUUACUACGUAUAUCUGAUAUUACCAGCUGUGCACUUCUUUCAUGUAGCACCAACAUGUUACAGUCCAUCUCUUUGGUUCUAACUUCUAAUUGCCUUGGUAAUGUUAAUGCAUUUCUUGCUUAUAUCAUGUACUCUGUCCCAAAUGUCAAUUUGGCUUUCAUAGAUUUUGCUAUGUGUAUAGAUAUCUAAAUGCAUAGCAAAAGCUAUAAACUUAGCUUUCAUAGAUUUCGCUGUGUGUAUAGAUAUCGCUAUCCUAAAUGCAUAGCAAAAGCAAAUGCUGUAUUACCUGUUCUGGACUCGACAAUACUGCGAGUCUGUGACAGCACGGAUGUAGUUUGAUUAUCUAAUAAAACGGGGACAUGUCAAUUCUGGGUGGUCUGUUCUUGUUAGAUUGAGUACGCCCAUGUUAUCUCUGAUGUUCAGAUCAAAACGGCUCAUGCAGUCAUGCACGUGUGACUGAGAAAGCAGAGUCCGGCAAAGCUGAUCAACGUCAGGGUAAAAUUGCAGCGCUAUAACAAAUACGUUUCCUUCAACUUGGAUCAGACGUCCUAAAUUUUAAAUUCGAAUUUGCGGUCGAAUCUUCUUAAAAGAAGUGCAGGAACUUAUGUUCGUCAAAGUUUGCGGGCAUUGCACCCGUGUCAAGUCCACAAGCAAUACGUAGUCGUGGGCCUGCCUAUUGCAUAUUGGGCCUUUUUUCAGAUUUCACAAAUAAAGGAUAACACACAUCCUCACCCAUUGCCAGUGACUGUAUAUCGCGUACGUGAUGGAAUUAUUUUUGUCGCCUGAAGUCAUUUUGCGUACAGACACUCGGUUUAUUUGACCCAAAUAACAUUUCAGCCCACAUAAAAGUCCGAUUUAACUGUUCCAUUUUGACUGAUUUAAUCCAUGAUAUGUGAUUCGUCUUGCAGCCUGAUCUAAAAUUCGGCUAAUUUAUUUCAAAAAAAAAAACUCCAUCCAGCUAGGGUUCAUUGCUGUGCCGCAGCAUUUCACCACCAUUAAUGUCCCAUAAUUUCCUCCUCGCGUGUAUAGCAUUAUUCGCAUAGCCUCUAUGUACUCCAACAUUAUGGAAAAAGUCUGUACCCCCUCACCUAUUACAUUACAUGUAGACUAGGUAACCCUCUAACCUAUAAAACCAGAUGUUUUACCCCCUUCUACUUUGCAAAACCAUUCAAAUAACCCCUUAAAGUAUAGACUACAUAACCUUCUAACCUAUAAAACCAGGUGUUUUACCCCCUUCUACUUUGCAAAACCAUUGACGCCCCGAUGCCAUCCUCGCAGCACCCCGACGCCCCUCGAUAGCGCGUCGCACCGCCGCCACAUCGGCCCUCACCACGUCGUUUCAGGCUGGCUCGUCCCCCGUCCCCUCCAAGAUCUAUCGCGUCAUCGUCCCCGGCGCCAUCUCCUUCCCCACCGCCACAUCAUCACCCGGUUCCUUAGCCCACCGCUGUCCCUCCGCGCCCCGACCUUCUCGUUGAAGAGGUACGACGCUGACGCCACACGGGUUUUUAAUUAAGAAAUUAGUAUAAAUUAGUAUAAUCUAGUAUAAUUUAUUAGAAAUGCUUAGGAAAUUAGUAUAAUUUAUUAGAAAUGCUUAGAAAAUUAGUAUAAUUUAGUAUACAUUAGUAUAAUUAGUAAAAAUUAGUAUAAUUUAGUAUAAAUUAGUCUAAUAGCUAGAAAAUUAGUAGAAUUUUGUAUAAAUUAGUAUAAUACUUAGAAAAUUAGUAUAAUUUAAUAUAAAAUAAUACAAUUUAGUAUACAUUAGUAUAAUUUAGUAUAAAUGCUUAGAAAAUUAGUAGAAAUUUGUAGAAAUUCUUAAAAAUUAGUAUAAUUUAGUAUACAUUAGUAUAAGUUUGUAGAAAUUUGGUAGAGGUGUUGUAUAUAUAAUUUAAUGACAUUUUUGGUGACAAUAUACAAGUAGAGGUGUUGUAUAUAUAAUUGCGUGAAUUUUUUAAUGUUUAAUCUUAUGUAAGUUUCAUGUAAUAAAUUGUACAAGUUUUAUUGUACAUAUGAUUCCAUGUAUAUAUAUUUAUAAUUUAAUGUAUGGUUUCAUGUGCAUAUUUCAAUUAGUUUCUUUUAUUUCAUGGUUGUUCUAUGAUUUCAUGUUUAUACAUUAACUGUACUACUUGAUCUAAUCUUUAAUUUAAUGUAUCUAUGAUUACAUGUGUGUAUAGUGUAUAACUAAUGUCAUUAUUAGUUGAGAUGGGAGACAAAGAGGAUGAAAGGUAUAUAAUGGAGCAGAUUAUUGCUGGCGGUAGUGGCUCAAACGUUCCAAAAACCUACACCGAGGAUGAGGGUAGCCAGGCGGACAUGUUCCUCAAGAUGUCCGAUGAUGGCAAUGAUGAGCCCGAGCAUAGCGUUGAUGAUAAUGUGGAACAAGACACUGCCGUGAUGGAAGGUUUCGGUGAGGUAUAUAUCAUUUUCAUUGUUUUACCCCAUCUAUAACUUCAUAUUCAUUAUUACUAUAUACUAAUUAAUGUAUCUUGAACUUUUAGCCCUCUGGAUCGAUGAAGCAAAAUAAGCCAUGAGUUUUUAAAAAGAUAAUGGAGGGAAGGCUCACAUCACCGAAGUGAUAGAAGAGGGACAGCUAAUUGCUCCCAAAAAAGUCGCUAGAAAGUUCGUGAGUCAAUGCGGGGCUAUUGUAAGGGAUAACAUGCCCAUCAGCAUUCGAGAAUGUAAGUCCAGUAAAAAAGAUGAUCCAUAUGUGCUCCCACAGACACAGAAAGAUAUGUUGUGGGCAAAUGUCAAGAAACACUUCACACUUCCUGAUGGCGUCGAUGAAAAAGUUGUGAAAGACUGGACGCUCAAGAAGAUGGCAACCCAAUUUCAGACCUUCAGGAAGAAUCUGGAUACCAACUAUAUCAACAAGGGUCAAAAUCUAGAUUUUAAUGACUGGCCAAAGUUAAGAGAUCACUGGAACUCAUUUCUGAAAUACAAGAGGAGUGAAGAUAGUGCGAACAAGGUUCGUGUCAACUCAAGCAAUGCCUAGAAGAAGGAGUACCAUCAGCGUCUAGGGCAAGGUGGGUGCAAUUCCCAAAUGGAGAAAGAUGGAACAAGACCUAAUCGAUCGAGGUAUCAUACCAAUGACUAUUGAUUGGCCCGAUCGAUCAAAGAAUUGGUAUUACGCUCAUGAAGGCACCCUUAGUCCUGAGGAUGGGACACUUAUUUUCAACGUAACAAUACGUGAGAAGGCCCUUAGGCUUAUCAAAAACAUUGAAGACUCUAAAGCGGGAAAGUUCAGUCCUGAUAGAGAGAACGAUGAGCUGACUUUGGCGCUCGGGAAUCCCGAACACCCAGGACGUUAGCGAGGCUUCGGUGUGGUUCCAUAGAAGUAUGCUUUCUGUAGGAACAUCGACACGUACAGAAGCUGGAAGAGAAGAAAGGAACAGCAAGAGGAGAGGUGGCGGCGCAUGUUAGAAGCUAAAGUGUACGAACAAGAUGUAAGAAUGGAAGAAGAAAUUAAUCAGCGAGUGGCCUUGGCAGUUAUUGAGAUGGUCCAAUCUGGAGCACUGCCGGAUCCCAACGUCGUCGUCAGCCCUUCUCAACGCUGAAGCAGCUGUGCUUCCAUAGAGAUCCUGAUGAGAACAUGCCAAGCUUACCCGUGGUUGCACAGGACAACCAGCGGUACCAUGUGGAUGACAUCACUCAGCGCACCUCAUGUGAGCUGUACAGAUCAUUUGGCAACCUCACUAUUAAGGUAUAAAUAUAUAUAAUUAUAAAAUUAUCUCAAUUGAUCCACAGCUCGAGAGUUUAAUAACUUCUUUAUUUCUCCUAUAUGUACAGGUGGCGUACGGAAGUGCUUUACCAAUCCUGCUAGGGCAAACAAGCCAUGGCAUGGUGAUUCCACCUAGCAACUCCAGCAUUGGGGUGGAGCAGAUUUGUGAUAGUAAAUAUGAAGGCCUAGAGCUCGACCUCUCAGGAGAGGAAAGGACACUAGGAGAUCCACUUCACGGUAUCAUUCUAUGGUGUAAACGUUAUAUCAUCAUCCCCGACCAGGAGGCAUCAUUUCUUCCCAUAGAUGCAUCACAGCCACCAUCUCCUCAGAACUUAAGACCAUCAUCUCCAGCACAUCCACCUCCAGGACCAUCGUCACCACCGGGACCGUCGCAUCCUGCUCGAUCACCAUCUCCAGCACCAUCGAAUUCUGCAGGUGGGAGCGACGAUGACCAAAACACCCCCCUUAAUCACAGCUUGCAGCGCUCGGACUAAAGUCUAGUACGAGCAAGGAAGCACUUGCAGCACCUCUCAAGAAGUCGCGACCACUGCCUCCAAGCCAAGGUAGCCAAAGGCGACAAAACCGAGGAAGAAAAAAAGAAGUCUGAACCUAUUAAGAAGCUAGCAAGUGAUAUGACUCCUGAGGAAUUGGAGGAGGCAUCGCAAGCACAUGUAAGGUAGUGGUUUGAAAAAAUCAGUGCAGAAAUAAAAGCGAAGGAGAUGGAGCCUAAGCUAGUAGAUCUUGCCAAAUUAAAGUUUUUUAUUAGCAUGAAAAAAGAAGUUAAGAAAAUGUUAUUAUCGAACUACGAUCGUUCAUUAGUUAAGUAUUGGUAGAAGAAGAAACGAAGAGAGUCGUCGUCCAGUCGUACUGUCCCCCAGCUCGGGCAACAAGAUCAACAAGUAGAUCAAGAAGCUCAACAAAUAGCAGCUUUGCCUUUAGAACAACAAAUCAAGGUCGUUAAGUUUAUGGUAGAGACAGGUCUCUCGCUUGUUGAAGUUCUAGGGCAAGACGAACCGGUACCUCCAGAAAAGACUGUACCUAAAUGGCGCUUUGAGUUAGGUAAGCCUCUAGUCAGGUCCAUCAAUGGUACAUGGAGCAGUCGGCCAAUGGUAGGGUUAUGUUCGCUCUUCUUGUUAAAUCGAUUGAUUUUUUUCGGUGAAGGUGAGAAACUGCUGUGGUUUGAAUUCAAGAAUAUUUAUGAAGUGUACCAUCAAGAUGCCCUUGAUGUCUCUCUUAUCAUCGCGUGGGUUCUGUAAAUGUGUGUUUAUUAGAUGUUAAUUUUGGCUCAGCUCAUUAUUGUGUGUAUGUGUGUGUCGUCCCACUAACUUUAUCUUUCAUUUUAUGUAGGAUGCAAAUUCAGAGGUGCCGAGAAUCCUACUUCAAUGUUGGCUUCAUGGACCCAACGCUUGUUAACAAAAAGCAGAUAUGUGAUCAACCAAAGUCUACAUUGGACACAAUAUACAAAUUCUUGGAGCAAUAGAAUUACAAGCAAUAGGCCCUGUUUGGAACUGCUUAUUGACAGCUUCCCAUCACAAAUAAGCUGAAUGCCCGCCAACGGAAAACUUCUGGGCGACUUAUUCACCAAACGCUUCUCACGAAUGAACUACAUGGGCAUGAUUGCGAAAAGCCAGGCACGGGCGGCUUCUCCGAGCUUAUGCAGGUGAGAGAAAUGAGAGUGCCCCUUAAAGAUGGAGUUAUUUACCCGCUUUUGCCAUUGCAUAUAUACCCCACGCAUCCCCUUCCAUCCCCUUGGCCCCCUCAUUCGCUUCUCCCUUGACGCCGCGGCCGCACGGAUGGCGAUUGGGGCGAGCUAGUGUUCACAGCCGAGCACCUCCGCCUGACCUCCUCGGCACAAAAAUUGCUCCACGACAGCCUCUCCCUGCUCCCCGGCUACCUCUCCCACCUCUCCGGUCGCCUCUCCGACCCUCCCCACCUCCUGUUGCUUAUCAGGCAGUCGCUGGUGGUGGGAGGAGCACGAGCAGGUGAGGAUGAGGGAGCACGAGCACGACAACACCGAGCAGCCAGCGAUCGUCCUUCUGCAGCCACGACACCGAGCUCGCCCCCAAGCACAGCCCCCUGCCCAAGGUAAAAUUUCUUCCCUCAGAUCUGAAUGAUAUGGGUGCUAAAAAAUUGAAAUCCAAACUAUGCCUGCGUAUGGAUGAGUCCUCAAGUUGUUACUGUAAAUAGAAAUCUGAGAUUUGAACUAUUGUUAUUAUCCUAGCAUAUGGAUGAAAGGAUUUGGGUUGACAGGAAGUUACGUGUGUAUGCUAGCAUAAGAUUUUAUUUACAUCAUGAUGUGUUCGUCUAAAAUUAUUAGAUGAAUCAAGGGGAGAAGAAAAAGAAAGUGACAACAAGAUGGGAUGCCAUUGCACAUCAUGCAUGGAUUGAAAUAAUGUUGGAAGAAAUUGCUGCCCAUAACCAACCACAACGGGUGUUGAAUAGCAUAGGAUAUGCUAACCUUGUGGCCAAGUUUAAAGAAUGAACUGGCAGGAGGUAUGAUAAAAAACAAAUGAAAAAUAGAUGGGAUGCACUCAAAGGUGAAUAUACAACCUAGAAGACUUUAAAACUCAAUGCCUCUAGGUUAGGAAGAGAUCCUAAAACUGGGACUAUUGCUGCUAGUGAGGAAUGGUGGAAUGAAAAAAUUGAGGUAUACAUGAACAUCUAUUUUCCUUUUCUACUCAGUUUAGAAUGCAUUAACUGCUUCAAGGGCUGACAAUUUUUUUCAACCAUGUGUAGGCCAUGUCAGGUUGUAAGAAGUUUAUGCUUGGACCUCUAGAACAUGAAGAUGAGUUGGACAUUAUUUUUGAAAUGUCCACAUGUACCAAUGAAUCAGCACGAGUGGUAGGCGGAGAUGAUCAGAAUUGGUCUGGUAGUGUUGAGGACAAGUUUGGUGACAUGACCGGUGGAGACAAGGGGGCUAAGAAAUGAGUUGCUAAAGCAUCUCCAAAGAAACAUGUGAAGAAUUUUAGAGACAAACAAUUCAAGCGGUUUGUUGACUCCUUUGUCGAAAGAGCAAGUUGAAACAAGUGUUCUGCAACCUCAAGUGCUAAUGAUGUAGUUAGGAAAGAGAUAGCUGAAAUGUUAGAUUCAGUUAUUGAAGCAGGGGUAGAGGAAGGGAGUGAUGAGCAUUUCUAUGCAACACAACUACCCAUCCAGAAGGAGUAUCAAGAUGUGUUUGCCACUCUAAAGAAGCCAGAGGUGAAGCUUGCAUGGCUGAAAAGGACCUGGGAGGAAAGGAAGCAACGUUAGACAACAUUAGUUUCAUUAAUAAGUAUCCUUUUUAUUCAUGUGUAUUGCCUCUACUGAACUUUUUCCUUCAAGUGUGAUGUACUGUGUGUUGAACACUCAUUUUAUUCAUGUGUCUUGUACUGUCUGUGGAACAUAACCCUUUUUAUUCAUUUUUCAUUUGUCUUGUAUUGUUUGUGGAACGUAUCCCUUUUUAUUCAUUUGUCUUGUACUGUCUGUUGAACAUAUUUGUGUGCCCUCUCUUGUGUGUUGAGUGCAGAUGUCCUUCAGUUCAAGUGAAUCAAGUGUGAAUGAUGAGGAAUAAGAAGAUGAUGAGUGGUUAUUUGAGGCUUCUGGCAUUGUAGCUUAUGCAAUGCUAAAUGAUGGUUCAACAUCUAAGAAACCAAGGAAAGUGCCCAUGGAGACCGGAAUUCAAUGGGUCGAGAGAAAACUAAAUGAUUCAGAAGAUUGCUACAAUAUGUUUAGAAUGAGGAGGUCAGUAUUCCUUAACUUGCAUGAGGUGCUGGUCACAAAUUAUGGUUUGAGUUCAUCUAAAGAGAUGUGUUCCGAAGAAGCACUAGGCAUAUUUUUGUGGAUCUGUGGUGCACCCCAGUCAAAUAGGUAAGCUAAGGAGAAGUUUACCCAUUCUGGAGAAACUAUCAGUAGGAGGUUUACUGAAGUUCUGGAGUCUGUGUAUCGAUUGGCUUCUGACAUUAUCAAACCUAGAGACCCUUCCUUUAGCACUAUGCAUAGUAAACUUCGCGAGCCAAGAUUUUGGCCUCAUUUCAGAAAUUGCCUUGGUGCUAUCGAUGGAACCCACAUCCCUAUGAUCGUACCAACGUCAAAACAAGCGGUGCAUAUUGGGAGGCAUGGAUAUCCUAGUCAAAAUGUUAUGGCAAUAUGCGAUUUUGACAUGAGAUUCACAUUUGUCGUGGUUGGGUGGCCUGGAUCAGCUCAUGAUACUCGCAUUUUUUGGAUUCUUUGAUCAAGUACAAGGAUCAUUUCCCACAACCUCCCACCUCACUUUAUUAUUCCAUCAGUUAGUAAUCUUUCUCCAACAUAUAAGUGCAUUGUCUCAAUAAUUCUUUAUCCUGUAGGCAAAUACUAUCUUGUUGACUCGGGGUAUCCAAAUAGAAAGGGUUAUCUAGCACCAUACAAGGGUCAUAUGUACCACAUAUCGCAAUUUCAAAAUAGUGGCCAGCUAAUUGGGUUGAAGGAGGUGUUCAACCAUGCUCAUUCUUCCCUUUAGAAUGUAAUCAAACGCUCAUUUGGUGUUCUUAAGAUGAAAUGGCGCAUUCUUCUAAAUUUGCCGAGCUAUCCGAUGGAGAAGCAAAAGAAAAUCAUAAUUGCUUGCAUGGCGCUGCACAAUUUCAUUAGAGACAGUCAAAUGCGUGAUGCCCAUUUUGAUGAGCUUGAGUGAGACGAGACAUAUGUUGAUGGGAACGUGAAAAAUCAUGUUAAUGAAAGAGAUGUCAUGGACGAGGUGGACAUGGGAGAGUUGCGAGAUGCUAUUGCAGCUAGUUUAGUAGGAUAGGCAUGAUAGUGACCACUAACUAAGAUCUUUUGUUACGUUGUUUUGUCUGUAAGAAUAUCAUACAUGUAUUUUAAUAUAUAUAAAUACUUCGUGAUGUGUUUUCAUCACUUGAAAACGUACAAAAGUCAAUUAAGUUACUCAAGAUAGCUUCCAUAACACUCAGGGGUAUUACAGACAUUUCAUAAUUUACAACAGAACUCAGCAUCUCACCAGCCCAUCAAAAAACCAGGUUGCCAAACACUUAGCUUAUUCAAGCAGCAGCUUUUUCAGACAGUAGCUUUUCAGGGCAGCCAGCAAUAAGCCAGCUUUUUUAUAAGUUUAAGCCAUUCCAAACGGGGCCUUACAACUUUCAACUUUAAGUAAGUGUGGGUACCGUCUAUUUUUGUUUUCCUUUCCUUACCUAAUUAAUAUUAGUUAGUUCUAAUAUGAACAUUUAUGUACACAGUUACUACUGGAUUCUCCUUAUAAUUAUGAUUGAUCAAAGAAACGUUAUUGUGUUUGAUUCGCUGAGGAAAUCAAAGGAUGAGUACCAAGACAUUCAAGACAUGCUUAACUUGUAAUAAUUCUGGACCUUUAUCUCUAUGUAAAAGUUUGUUUCCUAAAUUUUUACCUAACACUAUAUCAUAUUCAUUAUUUUAAUUCAUAGUGCAUGGAAACGAUUCCAUAAGUAUCACUGUGGUGAUUUCAAAGAAAAACUUACAUUUAGUAUAACCUUUUCGGUAUGCAUGAAGUUUGCACAUUUUGUAUAUUCUAUAACACGAAUUCAUAACUUAUUUUUUCCACUAAAGUGCUUGAGAUAGAAAAAGGAAACAAUUUAUGUGGAUACUACGUUUGUGAGCACAUACACCAUUUCAUGAGGGACAAGGUGCUAUCAGACUAUAUAAUUGUACGUAAAAUAAACCUAUUAAUUAUAUAAUUGUACGUAAAAUAAACCUAUUAAUUAUAAAUCAUUUUCUAGCUCCUUUUAUUUAAUUGUUGGUGUAACGUUCACAUAUUUUGAAAUUAGCGAUGUGCUAGAUUUGCGAAGAACUAUUGGAGAAGGAAAGGAUUUUGGCAAUCCAAGAAGCACUCAUAGGAUUUCUGGUGGAUGAGGUGAUAAAUCUCAAAGGAGAAUUUUAUUAUGAUGGACAUUCAGUAGCCGAAUCGAGCAACACCACGACGGGAGGAUCCUAACAAUUACGAGGACAAAUUAUUGUAUAUAUAGUAAUUGUAUUAAUACUAGUUGAUGUGUAUAAUAUACUAAGAGUUGUAUAUAUAGUAGUUAAAAUUAAUAUUAUGCAUAUACUAUCAUGAAAUAUAUAUAUAUAUAUAUACACACACACACGACAUGCAUACAAUACGAGCGUAUACGUGUAAGUAGUGUACGCUAAGUAUGUAUACAUAUACGUGUAUAUAUAUAAGUGAAUUAACAAUUAGCAUUAAUAUGGAAAAGAAUUCAGGGUAAAAAGAAAAAAGUCCGGUUGGUAAUACCAACCGGGACUAAAGGGGCCACGUGCAUGCGCCUGCAUGACGGCCCCUUCAGUCCCGGGUGGUAUUACCAACCGGGACUAAAGAGAGUGACCCGAGACUAAAGAGGAGGACCUUUAACCCCGACAGAAUAGUUCCGGUUGGAUAUUCGAGAGAUAUAACUCUUUUCAACUGGAACUAAUGCUCACUUUUCCACCCAGCUUAGACAAAACGCAAGCCCUCGGCGCGGGCCAGCGAGGCCAAUGCAUGUAAAAAAAAUCGUAUUGGUCCAUCACUCCAUCUGCAGACUGCAGUAAAGCAAAACACGCACAGGGGUAAAAAUUUUUUUUGCUGCCUCGUUGGGGAGGGCCGGCCGCGGCCCUGCUGGCCCAUCGCUGCUGCAUUCUUCUCCAAUCAUUCCAUCCGGGUAUGCUCGUGAUUGGUUGCUGGCACGAUGUCGCUCUACCAAAUUGGACAUACCGGUGGAAAACUGACCUGCAGUUCAGGUUAAAAUCCAAUCAGGAUUAAUUAUUUGGGACUAAAGGUUUCCAUCUUUAGUCCCGAGAUUUUUACCUAGGACUAAAGCCAUAUCUUUAGUUCCAGUUAGUAAUACCAACGGGGAUUAAAGAGUUUUGCGCCAAAAAAUAUUAGAAAUUCCCGAGAGGCUCCCACACACAUGCACGUCACAAGUGACAAGUCACGCAAAAAUGCACGUGCGCGUGGGAUUAGAACCCACGACCUCAAGCCUCGCACGAUCCUUCCUUACCAUCUUACCUACAUAGCAGAUGUGAUGAAGUAGAGGAUCCCGUGAAGACCCCUUUAGUCCUGGUUAACACAAACCGAUACUAAAGGGGUGAGAGGCUUUAGUCCCGUCAGUUCCGGUUGGUAUUACAAACCGGGAUUAAAUGGAUCUCCACGGACUAUGAAAUGUAGAUCCGAUACUAAAGUCUCUUUAGUCCUAGGUCCAAAUCGUCCCGAGCGAGAUUUUUGUUGAGGAUCAAACAACACAAUUAGGAGACUCCACGUAUAAAGAAGCCAAAUAAGUAUACUGUUUAAAAGUACGGAGUUUGUAGUGAAAGUAGUGACUAUUAGUAGCGCAGUGACCUAUCUAUGAGCGUCCGUUUCACGCUUAGGGACUUAAUACAGCCUACAAGGUGACACUUUAGCUACCAAUUUUUACAGAAGUACUAAAUUUCAAGUAAAGAUAAAUACUUGUGAUAAUGAUUUUAAUAAAAACUUACAUCAUUAAUAUAAGAAAUUAUUUAUAUAAUGAUGAUCAAGGUUAAACAAGUUUACAGGAAUACAUAUCAACGGAGAAGAGUAACUUUUAACUACGGAUUGGAUUCUUGUCGAUGAACAGCUCACACAGCACCUUCAAGCACAUAGAAAUCUCUUAUGUAUGCAACUGUGAAUAACACACCCUAUCUUUCGGUGUAAACCGAGGGAGCAGAUCAUUUUAAUUUCCAGUCUGAUCCGGAGUGGGUGCAGUUAACCUUUCAAAUAAAGUUUCCAAGUAUUUCUUUAACCCUACGUGACCACGAAGCGGGAAACUUUUAGUCCAUUCUGACCCCACAUCUACAUAAUUAAACAGGUGUCCGGUGCAACUGAGCGUCCAAACUAAACGAGAGCCAGUACAUUGUUAGUACUAGCUAGGUGGUUUAAGUGCUUUUGUAGUUUUGUCAUUGUGUCUAGUGUGCGCCCCUUUUCGAUGUGGAAAAGUAGGUGGUGGUUAGCAUGCAGAGUCCGCUGGAGUGCAAUGCAUUAUUCAUCACAUUUUAAUGUUUGUUCUGGUGCGAGACCAAUAUUCUUAUGUGUGCUUGUGACCUAAGCGUAUCCUAAUGAAUUAGAAUUCUUUUCCAAAAGGUGAGCCCAUUUAGAAAGAGAGGAAAACCCUACUGAAUGCUUCCUUUGCAUGCUGAACCUACUGAAAAGUUCAUUGGCUACGGACUGUUGAUAGUGCAAAUCUAUUGUACUAGUAUUUGUUUCAUUUUGUGAGGUUGUAAGUGGAAUUGAUUACAGUAUUUUCUACAAGGCAGUCAGUUUGACAUGUAGAGGAACCCACAGUUAAUAGAGAUUUUCUUCCGUCGGAUUUUGGUUCUCACUGCAUGCAAUGCUCACCGAUUUUUACUGUCCGCUUCCUACUAUCAUCGGUUCAGGUCCCACCUAUAUGAACGGCUGUGAGCCGACCGUAAAAACUGUCGGGAGUACUCCCUCCGUCCCAAA